UUAUUUUCAUGAAAAGCAUCUGUUAAGUUAUGUCUUUAUAUAACGUCUGAGUGGAUCUUUUCAUUUGAUUGGUGCUUUGUAUGUCACGUGACAUGGAUUAUUCAUUCCAUUUACCGUGCAAAUUUGGUUCCAUACAUUUUGUAUCAUUGCACGCUGUGAACCCCGC